UACGUAGGUGGCAAGCGUUGUCCGGAUUUACUGGGCGUAAAGAGCGCGCAGGCGGUCGUAUAAGUCGAAUGUGAAAGCCCCCGGCUCAACUGGGGAGGGUCAUUCGAUACUGUUCGACUCGAAGGCAGGAGAGGGAAGUGGAAUUCCGGGUGUAGUGGUGAAAUGCGUAGAUAUCCGGAGGAACACCAGUGGCGAAGGCGACUUUCUGGCCUGUUCUUGACGCUGAGGCGCGAAAGCUAGGGGAGCAAACAGG
rnacentral:rRNA from 1 species